rnacentral:lncRNA from 1 species
UCGCGCACGCGCACUACAAGUGGCUUCUCCUCGUAGCUACAAUCCUGACCCUCCUCCACCGUCGCCCUGAGCAAAGGAGUGCGCCUGCGCAGUCGAGAAGUGGAGGCGGAAGGGAUGGUGUGCGCGAGGCAAUGCGCUUGCGCAGCCGAAGGGUGGUGGCGGAAGGGAUAGUAGUGCCCUUGUUGACUUGUAAACUGUUCCAAGCGAUGCUGCUGAGGCCAACUUUUUAGAUCUAGUAGUCGUCAAAUAAUAGUUGCAUUUAGUGGUUCAGACUCUAAGGUUUGAACUCUCAUUCAGUCAUUCUUAGCUUUGAUUCUAAAAUCUGGGUAGCCUUAAGCAAGUUAUUUAACCAAAGCUUCGUUUCUUCAGUAGAAAAGGGAUUCUGGCAUUACCCAGCAGGUCCUUGCGAACAUUAGCUCUGCCAUCGCGAUGCCUGGCACAUAUAAAGUGGCCAUUAGCAUGCCAAUAUGUGGCGGUCACACAGACCAAUAGCUAGCUUCACAUUGAACACAUACCUAGAAACCAGCCUGGGAUUUGAAAUGAGAAACCUGCCUCAAGCUUUCUGGGCGAAUGCAGAACUUUACCAAACUGGUAUUUGGGAGCCAUCAUCAAACAAAAGCGAAUUGAUAGUGGUACAAACAGCACAUCAAAGAGGAAAACAUCUGGACUUGUGUUCUUGCCCUGGACAGAAUUGGGGCGCUAUUUGACCUUGACAACGAUAAUCUAUAUCUGGACUCCUCUCUUCUUGGAGACCAAGAUGGUGAGUGAGGCCAGGGUACCUCUGAGAGACUUCCAGCUGUCUAUCACCAAGUAUCGGGUAGAAAUCAAUACCGGGCAGCAUCCAGGUGCGGAGGUCGGGGAGAGUAGGGCCCUAGCUAACCUCUGCACGCCCUCCCCCAGGCUGUGCUGGUGAUUUGGUCCUGGUCCAGGGAAGGGCGCAAGGACUCAUCCCGAUCUCACAAAGGAGUGCUCUCUCAGAGACCUGGGUGGCAGCGUUUUCCUGCAGGAGCACGAUGCUUCCCCAAACCUUUUGUGCUGGUUGCCGCUGCAGCCACCGAGACCACCCAGCCUGACAAAGAAAGGAAUUCUUGUGUGCAGUUGACAGCCCUCAGGUUGACGGCUCUGCUUUUGCCCGGGAGGCUGUCACUCGCAGAACAAUGGCAGCGAGCAGGGUGGCUCUCACCUGAGACAGGCGCUGCCGCCAGCGAAGGG